rnacentral:rRNA from 1 species
UACGUAGGGACCAAGCGUUGUUCGGAUUUACUGGGCGUAAAGGGCGCGUAGGCGGCGUGUUAAGUCACUUGUGAAAUCUCUAAGCUUAACUUAGAACGGUCAAGUGAUACUGAUGUGCUAGAGUGCAGAAGGGGCAACCGGGAAUUCUUGGUGUAGCGGUGAAAUGCGUAGAUAUCAAGAGGAACACCUGAGGUGAAGACGGGGUUGCUGGGCUGACACUGACGUGAGGCGCGAAAGCUAGGGUAGCAAACGGGG